GGGGAAUUUUGGACAAUGGGCGCAAGCCUGAUCCAGCAAUGCCGCGUGCAGGAAGAAGGCCUUCGGGUUGUAAACUGCUUUUGUCAGGGAAGAAAUCUUCUGGGUUAAUACCUCGGGAGGAUGACGGUACCUGAAGAAUAAGCACCGGCUAACUACGUGCCAGCAGCCGCGGUAAUACGUAGGGUGCGAGCGUUAAUCGGAAUUAUUGGGCGUAAAGCGCGCGCAGGUGGUUUCUUAAGUCUGAUGUGAAAGCCCACGGCUUAACCGUGGAGGGUCAUUGGAAACUGGGAGACUUGAGUGCAGAAGAGGAAAGUGGAAUUCCAAGUGUAGCGGUGAAAUGCGUAGAGAUUUGGAGGAACACCAGUGGCGAAGGCGACUUUCUGGUCUGCAACUGACGCUGAGGCGCGAAAGCAUGGGGAGCAAACA
rnacentral:rRNA from 1 species